rnacentral:rRNA from 1 species
GUUACGGCGGUCAUAGCGGUGGGGAAACGCCCGGUCCCAUCCCGAACCCGGAAGCUAAGCCCACCAGCGCCGAUGGUACUGCACUCGUGAGGGUGUGGGAGAGUAGGACGCCGCCGGACU